rnacentral:rRNA from 1 species
AUUGAACGCUGGCGGCAGGCUUAACACAUGCAAGUCGGACGGUAACAGGAGGAAAGCUUGCUUUCUUUGCUGACGAGUGGCGGACGGGUGAGUAAUGCUUGGGAAUCUGUUUUAUGGAGGGGGAUAACUACGGGAAACUGUAGCUAAUACCGCGUAAUAUCGAGAGAUUAAAGUGUGGGACCGUAAGGCCACAUGCCAUAGAGUGAGCCCAAGUGGGAUUAGGUAGUUGGUGGGGUAAAGGCCUACCAAGCCGUCGAUCUCUAGCUGGUCUGAGAGGAUGACCAGCCACACUGGGACUGAGACACGGCCCAGACUCCUACGGGAGGCAGCAGUGGGGAAUAUUGCACAAUGGGCGCAAGCCUGAUGCAGCCAUGCCGCGUGAAUGAAGAAGGCCUUCGGGUUGUAAAGUUCUUUCGGUGGUGAGGAAGGUUGUAAUGUUAAUAGCAUUAUAAUUUGACGUUAGCCACAGAAGAAGCACCGGCUAACUCCGUGCCAGCAGCCGCGGUAAUACGGAGGGUGCGAGCGUUAAUCGGAAUAACUGGGCGUAAAGGGCACGCAGGCGGAUACUUAAGUGAGGUGUGAAAGCCCUGGGCUUAACCUAGGAAUUGCAUUUCAUACUGGGUAUCUAGAGUAUUUUAGGGAGGGGUAGAAUUCCACGUGUAGCGGUGAAAUGCGUAGAGAUGUGGAGGAAUACCGAAGGCGAAGGCAGCCCCUUGGGGGGAAUACUGACGCUCAUGUGCGAAAGCGUGGGGAGCAAACAGG